UUGGGUGUGUGUCACAAAGGCAUUUUCAUUUCGAUAUUGUCAGUAUUGUCUCCCGUGUUGUUUAGUAGAUCUCAUUGUAUUAAUUUUUUUGAAAUUAUCUUCUAUGAUGUCUAUCCAUGGUUACUAUACAUGUUGUUCACUAAGGCUGAAAAAAAAAUGGGGAUAUAAGUGUUCCAGUUCUCAUAACUAAUCAUGACUAUAUAUGACACAGUCCUCGGUGCUUCCUAGCCAGUGGUUGCUAUAAUAAGCCAAUGCAGGGUAAGUACAUAAGGAUUGUUGCCAACGACUUUGUGUUUUGAAAAGAGCUGAUAUGAAAUACCCAUUGUGUCCUCGCAUACCUAAACACCAGUGCGGAUAAAUCCUGGAGGGUUGUCUCAUUUUGCUCUUCCUGAAAGAUGUCAAAAAUAAAUUAUUUUAAGAUGCCAUGGAGUAAACAUCAGCCUGCAUAUAUCUCCAUCGUCUGCCAAAUGCUUUUCUCAGUUAAAAGAUAUUUUCUCAUAGAAAACUGAGCGUUUUCUUUCCUCACCUCCUAUUAGCUAUUUCAGUGAUCAUUUUAUAAGUUAAAAGCUAUAAAUGAAACAAAGAAAAAAAUUUUUUAACAUUUUUGCCUUGUACUCAAACUUUACUACUAAAAAUUAAAUUCCCAGAAUACCAGUCUAUUAGCAACCUCUUUGUAGAGAAAUUAACUAUUCUGUACCCAACAUAUUUAUUUAUUUAUUAUCCAGCCAUAGCAAAAUAACAAAACAAGACAAAAAAGAUUUGCUAAAACAGUUAUUUGCUUUUUCUCCUUCCCUUCUAUACUCCAUGUAUAUAUAUAUAUGUAUAUGGUCAGUGAUUCCAUUAAAGGGAAGCUGGUCAUGAAAAAAAUUCUAUGUUUUCUCCCUAUAUUAUAUAUCAUGUCAUGUAUCGAAUACAGUGGAUAAAGAACUUGAGGUAGUGUUCCAAUGACAUUAGUUUCUAUGAGAGAACAGAUGUAGUGAGAGUUUUAAUGGGGUUUAUGAGAAGGCCCUCUUUAAAGUGUAUAUUACUCUGUAAACAUUUCACUCAAGGGCCAGAAGUUAAAGUAUAACUAAAUCGCUGUGUUGUCAGAAUAAUAUUUAACAUUAACAAGAACAAACCCAUGGUCAAACCAAAAAAUAGUGGGUUGAAGUAUACAUUUCAUUUUCUAAUGCAUUGGCAAUUCGGAUGACAAAGAAAUUUAAUAUAAAGCUGUAGAGAUAAAUUCAGUGUCUAACCUUUUUUUUUAAUUUAUUUAAAUAGUUGUGGCAUUCUAGUCUUUACAUUUUAUGUCUGUCUUAUUACUGUUCCUUCUUUCUAACACUUGUUUUCUGUAGGUUCACUGAAUGCACAAUAGUCACAUUUCACAUGACUCAACUCCCAAGUGGUGUUAAUCAUUGGGCCUGUGUCAUAAAAUGCAUGGAUCUUUAAUACCUACAUGUCGCUGACACUUUUCACUACAGGGCUGGACUUAGUAACUGACCAACUCGGGGGGGGGAGGGGGCGCUGGGGUAUUAGAACAUGAUCAAAAUGUCUCUGCUCAGGGAUUUAUGGUGGAUCAUUGCAGACAGUGCUAAAAAUGUAGAGCACAAGACAAGUUUACUAAAUUAAAAUUUUAUUUUUUGAAAAACUGUUAUUUGUAUAAAUUAUCAAGAUUUGUAGGCUUUCCUUUUGUAGAAAUAAUUGUUUGAUGUGCCAGAGAAUUUCAAUUUUGUUUUGAACAAUAAAGCAUUGAU
rnacentral:lncRNA from 1 species